rnacentral:rRNA from 1 species
AGUGAACGCUGGCGGUAGGCCUAACACAUGCAAGUCGAACGGCAGCACAGUAAGAGCUUGCUCUUACGGGUGGCGAGUGGCGGACGGGUGAGGAAUACAUCGGAAUCUACUUUUUCGUGGGGGAUAACGUAGGGAAACUUACGCUAAUACCGCAUACGACCUACGGGUCAAAGCAGGGGAUCUUCGGACCUUGCGCGAUUGAAUGAGCCGAUGUCGGAUUAGCUAGUUGGCGGGGUAAAGGCCCACCAAGGCGACGAUCCGUAGCUGGUCUGAGAGGAUGAUCAGCCACACUGGAACUGAGACACGGUCCAGACUCCUACGGGAGGCAGCAGUGGGGAAUAUUGGACAAAGGGCGCAAGCCUGAUCCAGCCAUACCGCGUGGGUGAAGAAGGCCUUCGGGUUGUAAAGCCCUUUUGUUGGGAAAGAAAAGCAGCAGGUUAAUACCCCGCUGUUCUGACGGUACCCAAAGAAUAAGCACCGGCUAACUUCGUG